UGCGUAGGCGGGUCUUUAAGUCAGAGGUGAAAUCCUGGAGCUCAACUCCAGAACUGCCUUUGAUACUGAGGAUCUUGAGUUCGGGAGAGGUGAGUGGAACUGCGAGUGUAGAGGUGAAAUUCGUAGAUAUUCGCAAGAACACCAGUGGCGAAGGCGGCUCACUGGCCCGAUACUGACGCUGAGGCACGAAAGCUGGGAGCAAACA
rnacentral:rRNA from 1 species